AAGGAGCUUGCUCCUUUGACGUUAGCGGCGGACGGGUGAGUAACACGUGGAUAACCUACCUAUAAGACUGGGAUAACUUCGGGAAACCGGAGCUAAUACCGGAUAACAUAUUGAACCGCAUGGUUCAAUAGUGAAAGGCGGCUUUGCUGUCACUUAUAGAUGGAUCCGCGCCGUAUUAGCUAGUUGGUAAGGUAACGGCUUACCAAGGCAACGAUACGUAGCCGACCUGAGAGGGUGAUCGGCCACACUGGAACUGAGACACGGUCCAGACUCCUACGGGAGGCAGCAGUAGGGAAUCUUCCGCAAUGGGCGAAAGCCUGACGGAGCAACGCCGCGUGAGUGAUGAAGGUCUUCGGAUCGUAAAACUCUGUUAUCAGGGAAGAACAAAUGUGUAAGUAACUGUGCACAUCUUGACGGUACCUGAUCAGAAAGCCACGGCUAACUACGUGCCAGCAGCCGCGGUAAUACGUAGGUGGCAAGCGUUAUCCGGAAUUAUUGGGCGUAAAGCGCGCGUAGGCGGUUUUUUAAGUCUGAUGUGAAAGCCCACGGCUCAACCGUGGAGGGUCAUUGGAAACUGGAAAACUUGAGUGCAGAAGAGGAAAGUGGAAUUCCAUGUGUAGCGGUGAAAUGCGCAGAGAUAUGGAGGAACACCAGUGGCGAAGGCGACUUUCUGGUCUGUAACUGACGCUGAUGUGCGAAAGCGUGGGGAUCAAACAGGAUUAGAUACCCUGGUAGUCCACGCCGUAAACGAUGAGUGCUAAGUGUUAGGGGGUUUCCGCCCCUUAGUGCUGCAGCUAACGCAUUAAGCACUCCGCCUGGGGAGUACGACCGCAAGGUUGAAACUCAAAGGAAUUGACGGGGACCCGCACAAGCGGUGGAGCAUGUGGUUUAAUUCGAAGCAACGCGAAGAACCUUACCAAAUCUUGACAUCCUUUGACCGCUCUAGAGAUAGAGUCUUCCCCUUCGGGGGACAAAGUGACAGGUGGUGCAUGGUUGUCGUCAGCUCGUGUCGUGAGAUGUUGGGUUAAGUCCCGCAACGAGCGCAACCCUUAAGCUUAGUUGCCAUCAUUAAGUUGGGCACUCUAAGUUGACUGCCGGUGACAAACCGGAGGAAGGUGGGGAUGACGUCAAAUCAUCAUGCCCCUUAUGAUUUGGGCUACACACGUGCUACAAUGGACAAUACAAAGGGCAGCUAAACCGCGAGGUCAAGCAAAUCCCAUAAAGUUGUUCUCAGUUCGGAUUGUAGUCUGCAACUCGACUACAUGAAG
rnacentral:rRNA from 1 species